rnacentral:misc_RNA from 1 species
GAUGAAGAACGCAGCGAAAUGCGAUAAGUAAUGUGAAUUGCAGAAUUCAGUGAAUCAUCGAAUCUUUGAACGCACAUUGCGCCCGCCAGUAUUCUGGCGGGCAUGCCUGUUCGAGCGUCAUUACAACCCUCAGGCCCCCGGGCCUGGCGUUGGGGAUCGGCGGAGCCCCCCGUGGGCACACGCCGUCCCCCAAAUGCAGUGGCGGUCCCGCCGCAGCUUCCAUCGCGUAGUAGCUAACACCUCGCGACUGGAGAGCGGCGCGGCCACGCCGUAAAACACCCAACUCUUCUGAAUUUGACCUCGAAUCAGGUAGGAAUACCCGCUGAACUUAAGCAUAUCAAUAAGCGGAGGA